rnacentral:tRNA from 1 species
AAUCUUAAAAAAUUAAACUGCAAAUUUAAAAAUGAAACAAUUUCUAAGAUU